AUUGAUGGAGAGUGGCACUUAGAGCAAGAUACCCGACCUUGACUGGGGACCAAGCACGAAAUCCCUAAGAGGUGACAGGAAGAGAGAAGUCUGAAAGGUUAAGUGAGUUAACCAGAUGGUGUCAGAAGUGGAAUCCAAAGAACAGCUUCUAACAACCCCCAGGAGCGCUGAGCGUGGUUCCUACUCGGCCCAUUGUGCCCAUUGCUCUCUUGGAGCAG
rnacentral:lncRNA from 1 species